GGGGGCGAUCGGAUUUGACUGGGUUACUGGCAAUCAGGGUGGCGUGCCGAGGUUGAUCAGUUGGCCUCGUAAAAAGCUGAUCACCAAUAACUGCAAAACCGCAGUUCUCUCUCGCAGCCUAGAAAUAGGCUGUGCCGACCUAAGGAUCCCCGCCUAAGGAGCCGACCGUCGGUUGCAAAUUUGGGCUGGCAUCAGUUCAACCGUCCGUUACGGCUGAUGUGAGAUUUGUGAUGGACUGGUGAUGGAUGGUCUUGUUUGCUUGAACCUCUCCAUUGCGACUUAAUCAACGAACUACGCACGUAGAGGCUUUGGUUGUGGGACAACAGGACGGGGGUUCAAUUCCCCCCGCCUCCAUGA
rnacentral:tmRNA from 1 species